rnacentral:lncRNA from 1 species
UAUUCUUUUAUUCAAUAACUUGAAUGAAAAUUCAAUUUCAACUAGACCUAUAAAAUUUAACACUACCACAGCCAUUGCUUUAGCUCUUAAUAGAAGAUGAGAGUCAAAUUUCAUUUUUUGAAGGGAACAAAUUAAAUAAGAAAAAAUUAAAAUGGUAGUAUAUUGUAAAUUUUCACAAAAAGGAGUGGCUUCGUCAUUGGUUACAGAUUGCCGCAUAUCACAUCAAAACGGAUACAAAAGCUGCUUCUUGAUUCAAUACCUAAAUUUUCAUUUUCAUUCAAAAAUGUAUUGAACGUAAAAAUGCCGACUAAUAUAUAUAUAUACACACCAUUCUAACUAUACAACCUAAAUCCUUUCACGUGGCUCACGGCUUCUGGAGCUUUACUAUAACCUUAC